ACUCAGGUGACGAGUCCCAAAUAGGACGAAAUGCGCAUCCUGGAU
rnacentral:hammerhead_ribozyme from 1 species